UACGGGGGGAGCAAGCGUUGUUCGGAUUUACUGGGCGUAAAGGGCGCGUAGGCGGCCAGCACCAAGUCAGUUGUGAAAUCUCCGAGCUUAACUCGGAAAGGUCAACUGAUACUGUGCGGCUAGAGUGCGGAAGGGGCAACUGGAAUUCUUGGUGUAGCGGUGAAAUGCGUAGAUAUCAAGAGGAACACCUGCGGCGAAGGCGGGUUGCUGGGCCGACCACUGACGCUGAGGCGCGAAAGCUAGGGGAGCGAACGGG
rnacentral:rRNA from 1 species